UGACAGAGCAUUAGGCUACUAUUGGUCUUCUGAUGACACCCCCCCCCNGGUUGAACUAUGGGUAGCUGAGGACCACCAUAGGUCUCUGAGCCAGUGCCCUUAUAUACUAUAGGAUGGAAUCCCAAGGACUCAAGAUCCCAGGCCAGCUUGGUGGUUGAAGCUUCGUGGAGGUUACCUAUCCCCAGAAAGGAGCUCUUCAAGGCCAUCUGUCCCAGUGCAAACAGCAUGAGUCCAGACCCAGAGCUUCUGGAAAGCGCACCCUCCUGGGAACUGAAAUGACCAUCCAAGUAUGUAUCCCACUGGCCUAGGGUGAGCAGGUGGCUAAAUCCCAGAUGCAGAAAAAGGAGUGAAACCACUUUCCAGGUAGUCCUUAAGUUUCUAGAGCACAGCCGUUUGAUCACAAAGCAGAAUUGAAGGUUAAUCCCAG
rnacentral:lncRNA from 1 species